rnacentral:lncRNA from 1 species
GGGUUGCAAAGUGAGUAAUGGCUGCAUCUGGGAGCUGAUCAAAGGUGGCCAGCCAAGUUGAGUAGCCAGUUUGGUGUAUGAGACUUAACAACACUGUUUCCCCGGCCAUGGAAGGAGUCUUGAGCAGAGUGUGAGAAUGGCCAGGUGGUGGAAGUGUCUGAAAAGAUCCUGCAUCGAUCCAGUGUGAGCGCUGAACCCCUGUCCAGCUAGCAAAGGUCACAUGA